AGUAUCAGCUUUCUGUGGAAAGUUUCAGUUUUUUUCAUCAAAAAACCCAAACACUCAAAACCCAAAAUAUUUGUAAUGUGAAAUGUUGCUGCAGUGCCUCAUGGGAGUUGUAGUUCAGGUGCCUCAUGCUCCCAUUCUCCUCUAUAGGCUAAGCUCCCUGGUUGGACUAUGUCUCCCAUGAUGCAGCACAGCCAGGGACUCCCAUGAUGCUCUGCCUCCUCUAACAGAGGGGAAACUGUGGUACAUCUUGGGACAUGGGGUCUGACUGGAGAAGCCAGCUUAUAGCACAGAAAAGGCAAGAAAUCCCAUUUUCUGACCAUUUUCUCUAAUUGGAAGGUCUUUGGGGGCAGGGACUCUCUCUUCCUCAGUGUGUGUACAGCACCUAGCACAAUGGACCCCUGCUCCUAAGAGGGACCUUUGGGUGCUACAGUAAUACAAAAUAACAACAAUGGUGCUCGGCAUGUCUUUGAAGACUGGAAAUGCGCGCUUGCUGAAGGGCCUUGCACACUGUGUGAUCAGUAGAAGCGGCAUUCACAGGAGCACACGGAUCAGAGGAGCUAUUGCCCAGCAGAUCCCCUACAGAAGAACAAGGAAGGAGGCAGCCAGGGCCCAUCCUUACCGAGC